rnacentral:rRNA from 1 species
AACGAACGCUGGCGGCAGGCUUGACUCAUGCAAGUCGAACGCAUCCUUCGGGGUGAGUGGCAGACGGGUGAGUAACGCGUGGGAACGUGCCCUUCAGUUCGGGAUAACCCAGGGAAACUUGGGCUAAUACCGGAUACGUGCGAGAGCAGAAAGAUUUAUCGCUGAAGGAUCGGCCCGCGUCUGAUUAGCUAGUUGGUGGGGUAAUGGCCCACCAAGGCGACGAUCAGUAGCUGGUCUGAGAGGAUGAUCAGCCACAUUGGGACUGAGACACGGCCCGAACUCCUACGGGAGGCAGCAGUGGGGAAUAUUGGACAAUGGGCGCAAGCCUGAUCCAGCCAUGCCGCGUGAGUGAUGAAGGCCUUAGGGUUGUAAAGCUCUUUCGUCCGGGACGAUAAUGACGGUACCGGAAGAAGAAGCCCCGGCUAACUUCGUGCCAGCCGCCGCUGUAA